rnacentral:piRNA from 1 species
UUACAUAGACUCUGUUGUA